rnacentral:rRNA from 1 species
GUCGUAACAAGGUCUCCGUUGGUCAACCAGCGGAGGGAUCAUUACCGAGUUUACAACUCCCAAACCCCUGUGAACAUACCUAUCGUUGCUUCGGCGGGCCUCGCCAUGGCGCCCUCGGGCCCGGACGUGGGCGCCCGCCGGAGGAUAACCAAACUUCUAUUGUCUCUACGAGUAUCUUCUGAGUGACACAAGUAAAUGAAUCAAAACUUUCAACAACGGAUCUCUUGGUUCUGGCAUCGAUGAAGAACGCAGCGAAAUGCGAUAAGUAAUGUGAAUUGCAGAAUUCCGUGAAUCAUCGAAUCUUUGAACGCACAUUGCGCCCGCCAGUAUUCUGGCGGGCAUGCCUGUUCGAGCGUCAUUUCAACCCUCGAGCCCCUUUGGGGGCUUGGUGUUGGGGCUCGGCACGUCCCUAGCGGCGCGCCGUCCCCGAAAUCUAGUGGCGGUCUCGCGGCAGCCUCCUUUGCGCAGUAGCAUUACCUCGCACUGGAACGUCGCUUGGCCACGCCGUUAAACCCCCCACUUCUGAAAGGUUGACCUCGGAUCAGGUAGGAAUACCCGCUGAACUUAAGCAUAUCAUAG